UCCCAGACUCCUACGGGAGGCAGCAGUGAGGAAUAUUGGUCAAUGGGCUUACGCCUGAACCAGCCAAGUCGCGUGAGGGAAGACUGCCCUAUGGGUUGUAAACCUCUUUUGUCAGGGAGCAAUUGGCGCUACGUGUAGCGUUAUCGAGAGUACCUGAAGAAAAAGCAUCGGCUAACUCCGUGCCAGCAGCCGCGGUAAUACGUAGGGUGCGAGCGUUAAUCGGAAUUACUGGGCGUAAAGGGUGUGCAGGCGGCUGAGUAAGACAGAUGUGAAAUCCCCGGGCUUAACCUGGGAACCGCAUAUGUGACUGCUUGGCUAGAGUGCGUCAGAGGGAGGUGGAAUUCCACGUGUAGCAGUGAAAUGCGUAGAUAUGUGGAAGAACACCGAUGGCGAAGGCAGCCUCCUGGGACGCAACUGACGCUCAUACACGAAAGCGUGGGGAGCAAACAGGAUUAGAUACCCCCGUAAC
rnacentral:rRNA from 1 species